GAAUAGACUACCCCGGGUAGUCCACGCCCUAAACGAUGCGAACUGGAUGUUGGGUACAUUACGGUACUCAGUGUCGAAGCUAACGCGUUAAGUUCGCCGCCUGGGGAGUACGGUCGCAAGACUGAAACUCAAAGGAAUUGACGGGGGCCCGCACAAGCGGUGGAGUAUGUGGUUUAAUUCGAUGCAACGCGAAGAACCUUACCUGGCCUUGACAUCUGUCGAAUCCUGCAGAGAUGCGGGAGUGCCGCAAGGAACGACAAGACAGGUGCUGCAUGGCUGUCGUCAGCUCGUGUCGUGAGAUGUUGGGUUAAGUCCCGCAACGAGCGCAACCCUUGUCCCUAGUUGCCAGCACGUAAUGGUGGGAACUCUAGGGAGACUGCCGGUGACAAACCGGAGGAAGGUGGGGAUGACGUCAAGUCCUCAUGGCCCUCACGGCCAGGGCUACACACGUACUACAAUGGUCGGUACAGAGGGUUGCGAAGCCGCGAGGUGGAGCCAAUCCCAGAAAACCGAUCCCAGUCCGGAUCGGAGUCUGCAA
rnacentral:rRNA from 1 species